UACAGAGGGGGCAAGCGUUGUUCGGAAUUACUGGGCGUAAAGGGCGCGUAGGCGGCCUGUUAAGUCGAACGUGAAAUCCCCGGGCUCAACCCGGGAACUGCGUCCGAUACUGGCAGGCUUGAAUCCGGGAGAGGGAUGCGGAAUUCCAGGUGUAGCGGUGAAAUGCGUAGAUAUCUGGAGGAACACCGGUGGCGAAGGCGGCAUCCUGGACCGAUACUGACGCUGAUGAGCGAAAGCCAGGGGAGCAAACGGG
rnacentral:rRNA from 1 species